rnacentral:RNase_P_RNA from 1 species
GAAGCGCGCCAGGCCGUCGCUGGCACAGCCCGCAAGGGAACCCGAAAGGGAGUGCUGGAGGAACGUCCGGACUGCACAGGACAGCGUAGGAGGUAACACCUCUCCACCGACAAGCCAGAAGGGGCAACCCGGACGGUCCUAAGGUGAGGAUCAGAGCAACAGAGACGAGCCGAUUCAGUUCGGGUGAAACGGGCAAUCUCUACGCGCAGCAAUACCAAAUAGGCCAACGUUGACGUGGUUCCGCGGAGUUGGCGGGUAGGUAGCACCGAGCCGCUUGGGUGACCAGCGGCCCAGAGGAAUGACGGUCACGCCCGGGAUUUUCGCAAGAAGGUCGCGGGUGCACAGAAUCCGGCGUAACGGUGCGCUUCACAC